CGGAAAGUGGGCUAAAGGUGAGCCGCUUGCUUUGGGAGCAAGACACCGAGCGGGUUCGAUUCCCGCCUUUCCGA
rnacentral:tRNA from 1 species